GUCUCCGUGGCGCAAUUGGUUAGCGCGUCUGACUGUUAGUCAUAAAAUCGGUUCAAAUGCUGAUUGGCGCAAUCAGGAGGUUGGAAGUUCGAGCCUUCCCGGGGACG